rnacentral:rRNA from 1 species
CCUAGUAACUGCGAGUGAAGCGGGAAAAGCUCAAAUUUAAAAUCUGGCGGUCUUUCAGGUCGUCCGAAUUGUAAUCUAGAGAAGUAUUAUCCGCGCUGGCCUGUGUACAAGUCUCCUGGAACGGAGCCUCAUAGAGGGUGASAAUCCCGUCUUUGACACGGAUCACCAGGGCUUUUGUGAUAUGCUCUCAAAGAGUCGAGUUGUUUGGGAAUGCAGCUCAAAACGGGUGGUAAAUUCCAUCUAAAGCUAAAUAUUGGCGAGAGACCGAUAGCGAACAAGUACCGUGAGGGAAAGAUGAAAAGAACUUUGGAAAGAGAGUUAAACAGUACGUGAAAUUGUUGAAAGGGAAACGCUUGAAGUCAGUCGCGUUGACCAGGAAUCAACCUUGCUUUUUUGCUCGGUGUACUUUCUGGUCGACGGGUCAGCAUCAAUUUUGACCGGUGGAUAAAGGUCAGAGGAAUGUGGCAUCUUAGGAUGUGUUAUAGUUUCUGGUCGCAUACAUCGGUUGGGAUUGAGGAACUCAGCACGCCGCAAGGCCGGGUUUUUAAUCACGUUCGUGCUUAGGAUGCUGGCAUAAUGGCUUUAAUCGACCCGUCUUGAAACACGGACCAAGGAGUCUAACAUACCUGCGAGUGUUUGGGUGGAAAACCCGAGCGCGUAAUGAAAGUGAAAAGUUGAGAUCCUUGUUAUGGGGGAGCAUCGACGCCCGGACCUGACCUUUUGUGACGGCUCCGCGGUAGAGCAUGUAUGUUGGGACCCGAAAGAUGGUGAACUAUGCCUGAAUAGGGUGAAGCCAGAGGAAACUCUGGUGGAGGCUCGUAGCGAUUCUGACGUGCAAAUCGAUCGUCGAAUUUGGGUAUAGGGG